rnacentral:lncRNA from 10 species
UGAGGUGUGCAGGAGAUUUAUUGAGGGAAACACCAUUGGGGAACAUAGGGAAAGGAGGUGGGGCAGGUGGGGGAGUCUCAGAUCAGGACUCAGGGACCUGAGAAAGGGAGGAGGGGACAGGAAGAGCCCCAGGCUGCGGUACAGCUCUGAGAGAGCCUUGGCCACACUCCGCAGAAGGCCCCAGCGUUCAGACUGCCCAGGGAGGAGCUCCUUUCUCCAGGAUUCAUCUUUUCAUUUAUUUGUUCAAUGCCCCAGCACCCACUGGCCAUGCUUGGUCCUCAGCCUCUGUGAAAAGCUGCCGUGGACCUUGAAGGCACAGGAGCUGGGGGCUGUCGGUCAACCACCUCCUCCCAGCAGGCUCUCUCCUGGAAUGAGCACCAGCAACCUACCCCUUGGAGCCAUGUCUCACUCACUGCAUGGCCUUCUGGAGUCCUCAGCCUCCCCUUCGGUGCUAAUGAGGACUGGGGGGUGUGUUGGCCUCAGAGUCACCUCAUGCAGGCAGAGAAGCAGCAGCAUGUCAAGCCCAGGGAGGACAUCACCCCUUUCCUAAGCUUCACCUCCUGGUACCAAGGCUCAUAGCCCCAAUCCUAUUCAGGGGAGAUGCUGGUGGCCACACUGAGGUAUCCCCAGGAAAGGGCAUGGAGGGAGGGCCCUGGGGCUGCGCCAGGGAGGCAUAGGCCAUGCUCUGGGAGAAGGGGCUCUGCACACUCAAUGUCUGCCAGUGGAAGAUGAGACCUCAAGCCGUGUGUCCAUGUGGAGGGAUUUUGGGGGAGACACUGGGGCCCAAGGAAGUCUCCUGGAGUCCUGGACUGAGGGCUUGGCUGUGGAUGAUGGGGAAAUUUGGAGAGAGGAGGCAUGAAGCAGGACCAUGAGAAAGGGGGGCUGUGUGAGCAGAAGGUGAACGCGGGGUAUGGGGAGGGAGAGCAGAGGGAGAAGUUGGACAUAGGGCACUCGGAAGGUGGAGGGUGCUCUGGAAUGCUCCAGAGGAAUCUGGGGAGACCUCUCCUGUUCAUGCCCACUGUGGGCUGAGUGCAUAGAAUAAAAACAGAGCUCCUCUCAUGAGCCAGCCACCCCCCUGGCCUCUCACUCUCCCUGGAUGCCCCAGCCCCUUUGCCCCCGACACAUGGGCCUCUCUCUCUGGGACUGCUCAGAGCCUCCACACUGCCCUUCUAUGGACAGAACACUUUUCCCAUGCAGCUCCUGCUCAUCCUUUAGGUUUCAGCCCAUGUCCCCUCCUCGCGGCCUCAACCCAAGCUGUCUGCUGUGUGUUGCCCUCUGCUGUGCGUGGCCCUGCCUGAUUUUCUUUGUCACACUGGCCACGACCUCCAAGUGUCUUGGUAGUGUUUUUGUUUACCACUUCCUCUCCCAACAGGUUUGUCACUUCCAAGGUGACUUUGUCUACCUUGUUCAUGACUGUAACCCCAGCUCCUAGAGCACACCCAGCACAUAGCAGAUGCUUGAAAGAAAUUUGUCAAAUGACUGAAUCCAGGCGCCUUUAAAUUCUUACCCAUGGGAGUGGGGGCAUUGUAUCACCACACUUGAUUUUCAGGGAGGAGGCAGAGGUGAAAAGAGAGUCACCCGUCCAUGGCGACUCCACGGGUGAGGGGCUGUGGCCGCUCCUGAGUUGGUUUCCUGCUUCCUUCCUGAGUGGCCUUGCACAGGCCAUCCACCCUCUCUGGGCCCCAAUGUGGGCUGUGUGAGGAGUGGGCGAGAAAACAUCCACGGAGAUGUCCUGCUUCAGGCCAGACACCUGUGAGCCCCUGUUCCAGGCCACUGACACACAGAUAUCUGGUUCUGAGUGGCUCUUACGUGUGUCAACAUUGCCCUUCUAACAGCCCUGCUGGAGUGGGGGAGGCCUGAGCUUGGAAGAGCCUCUGAAGGGAGGGCUGAUGUGUGAGGGAUUUAUGGACGCUGCUCGAAAUGAAAAGCAAUUCAAUUCAAUCCCAGGGUCGUAAGAGACUUCCCGGAGCCUCACUAAGUGGGUCUGGAGCAGUGAUCAGCGUUGCAAAUCUAUUAGCUGUGCUCGGCAUCUGGGGCCGCCGCAUGCAUGAGUCAUCGGGGUGGGAAGCCAGGAAGCUGCAUCGUCCGGCAGGCCACUCAUCAAUUAAACUCCUCUCCGUUUAAUUAAGACAUAAAACAUCACCCUGUGUGUCUGCCAGAGGGGCCAGACACCCAGGGCUGUGGCAGCCCCACAGGCAACCCCCCUGCCACCCAGACCCAGACAUCCACCCGGCUGUGGGGCCACCGAGGAGUCUUUCUGUCCAUUUCCCUGCCCAGGACUCGGCAUCCCCAGUGGAGGCCCCUCUGCUUGUAUGCUGCUGGGGUGACUUGCAGCUCACUCCUCUGUUCCUCUGCCACCCUGGACAGGACGGCAGAGUGGUCAGGUGUGCCUCUGGGGUCAGGCUGCCUGUGAUCAGGCUACUUAGCCAUGUAACUUUGGCCCAGUUCUGAGUCCCUCUCUCUGUGCCUCAGUUUCUCCAGCUGCACAUAGAAGGAUGGGACUAGUAUCAUCAGUGCAGGGUUAAUUUGAGGAUUAAGUGAGUUAAGGUGCACAGAGCACUGGGGACAGAGCCCAGGCUGUGGACAGCAUCUCUGCACUCACUGCUGAAAUGCCUCCUCCCAACCUUCCCUGUCUCUGCUGCCAGUCCUUUGACAGUCAGCCCCAGUGGACCCUGUGCUUGUGCUUCCAGGACCUCUGGGACACAUGGGGCUGGAUGCUGGGCAGCCCUGCUAGCUCACCUCCUGCACCAGGAGUUCUGAGGAAUAGGCCUGGCUCUACUCGCCCCCCAUGUCUCUGGUGCCCAGCACAAGCCCUCACGUAAGUGCGAGCCAGCAGGUUUCCCAGGUGAAUGGAUGACAUGAAUAAUUCCUUCUUCGACUCUUCUGGGCCCCAGAGAAUAAGAUGAAGGUGGAUGAUGUGUUAGAAAAUUGCCAUCCCUGGCAUCAGGCUGAUCCAGUCAAAAUUCCAGCUCCUUUGUGUAACGUCCUUCCCAUCUCUCUACCUCAGCAUUCCCAUCUGCAAGUUGGGUGCUGCACUGCACCUCUGCUGCUGGCUCAGUAUCCAUUCCUUCCUUCGUCCUUAGUAACAAACAUUGUUUUGCAGGAGGAGCAGUAGUUGUCUCAGCAAAGGUAAGAAGAAUCCCUUUGCCAGUCUUCCUUGCAACUGGGGGCAGCCUAGAACUCCCCUGGGACCCCACUAAGCCAAUGGAAUGUCCGUGGGGUCUUCAGGGGGCUCUGGGAAGUCAAGCCUGGCACUGGAUCCUCCUUCCUCACUCACGGCCUUGAAUUUGGCAACUAGAGCCAGCCUGCUGAGAGCAGAGCUAGAGGCAGCCCCUGCCUGCCUCCAGACCCCUCACUGGACGCUGCAUGACCACAAGAGGCUGAAGACUCUGUGAAUUGGGGUCUUCUGUUUCUUAGAGCUGAGGGCAUCCCACACAAACCCAGCAAUGUCACCCCCACCCGGAGCAGGUGCUGGAUAAAUGUGUGUCCACUCGUGCCCAGCCUGGCUCACCAUCCUGCUGGCCUGAGAACACAAGCACAAUGAGCGCCUGAAACAGCCAGCGAGCCAACUUGCGAUUCUGCCUGCCAAGGCUCUGGCCUGACGCCGGUUUGCUCUCUAUUCAAAAGGGAGAUUCACACAUGUUGGAGAGGUGCGAAAGACAGGCUAGAACAAGCAGAGACUUUCUGAGUGCUGGAGUGAGCAGGCUGGGAAGAGCACUGGACAGGACUCAGCACACUGAUGACAUGAGGCCUGAUUUAAUGCAGGGCAAAUGUGCAUCCCACGCAGAACCUUUGUUUCUGGGAUUAAACAGAUGGCUGGAUCGAUCCCACCAGCUUCUCGCCUAAGGCAGCCCUGGAGAGGUGGACCUUUGACAGGGAA